GGGGACGUGGCGGAACUGGCAUACGCGCAGCGUUGAGGGCGCUGUCCCGCAAGGGGUGGAGGUUCAAAUCCUCUCGUCCCCA
rnacentral:tRNA from 1 species